rnacentral:rRNA from 1 species
UAGUAUAGCAUUGUACUGCGAAACUGCGAAUGGCUCAUUAAAUCAGUUAUCGUCUAUUUGAUAGUACCUUACUACUUGGAUAACCGUGGUAAUUCUAGAGCUAAUACAUGCUGCAAAGCCCGACUUCGGAAGGGUUGUAUUUAUUAGAUUAAAAACCAAUGCCCUCCGGGGCUCACUGGUGAUUCAUGAUAACUUCUCGAAUCGCACGGCCUUGCGCCGGCGAUGGUUCAUUCAAAUUUCUGCCCUAUCAACUUUCGACGGCUGGGUCUUGGCCAGCCGUGGUGACAACGGGUAACGGAGGGUUAGGGCUCGACCCCGGAGAAGGAGCCUGAGAAACGGCUACUACAUCCAAGGAAGGCAGCAGGCGCGCAAAUUACCCAAUCCCGACACGGGGAGGUAGUGACAAUAAAUACUGAUACAGGGCUCUUUUGGGUCUUGUAAUUGGAAUGAGUACAAUUUAAUUCCCUUAACGAGGAACAAUUGGAGGGCAAGUCUGGUGCCAGCAGCCGCGGUAAUUCCAGCUCCAAUAGCGUAUAUUAAAGUUGUUGCAGUUAAAAAGCUCGUAGUUGAACCUUGGGCCUGGCUGGCCGGUCCGCCUCACCGCGUGCACUGGUCCGGCCGGGCCUUUCCCUCUGGGGAGCCGCAUGCCCUUCACUGGGCGUGCCGGGGAACCAGGACGUUUACUUUGAAAAAAUUAGAGUGUUCAAAGCAGGCUUAUGCUCGGAUACAUUAGCAUGGAAUAAUAGAAUAGGACGCGUGGUUCUAUUUUGUUGGUUUCUAGGACCGCCGUAAUGAUUAAUAGGGACAGUCGGGGGCAUCAGUAUUCAGCUGUCAGAGGUGAAAUUCUUGGAUUUGCUGAAGACUAACUACUGCGAAAGCAUUUGCCAAGGAUGUUUUCAUUAAUCAGGAACGAAAGUUAGGGGAUCGAAGACGAUCAGAUACCGUCGUAGUCUUAACCAUAAACUAUGCCGACUAGGGAUCGGACGGUGUUAUUCUUUGACCCGUUCGGCACCUUACACGAAAGUACAA